rnacentral:rRNA from 1 species
UGCAGAAUCCCGCGAACCAUCGAGUUUUUGAACGCAAGUUGCGCCUGAGGCCUUCUGGCCGAGGGCACGCCUGCCUGGGCGUCACGC